AAUUAUUAACCUAAAGAAGGUAUUAUGUUUUGAAAGCAUAUUAAAGAGGUUUAACUCCUCUAGUAAUUU
rnacentral:tRNA from 2 species